UAAAAGUGCUUGUAACUCAGAUCUCUGUAGCUGCCUCUGCUGACUUGCUCUUCUUGGUGACUGGGUUGGCUUGUUUUCUGCAAAGAUGUCUUCGUAUGGACAGAUGAUUAGCUCCCGCUGUGCUGAACCAUGUGAAGUAACAUGCCCACAACCAUAUGUCAACUGUUGGAAUGAACCUUGUGUCAGCUCAUGUGGAGACUCAAGAGCAAUCGUGUAUGCGCCGCCCGUUGUCGUGACUUUCCCAGGACCCAUUAUAAGCUCCUGCCCUCAGGAAAGUUUUGUGGGAACUGCUAUGCCUGAAAUUGAGGGUCAGAUGGGCUCUGGAGGUGGAGGAAUGGGUUCUGGAGGUGGAAUGGGCUCCGGAGGUGGAGGAAUGGGCUCCGGAGGUGGAGGAAUGGGUUCCGGAGGUGGAAUGGGCUCCGGAGGUGGAGGAAUAAGCUCUGGUGGUUCCUGUGGAGGAGGCAGCUCCUACGGGAUGGGCUCUCAUGGUUCAGGUGGUUCUUGUGGUGGCAUAGGAGGAGGCUCAUACGGUGGGGAGGGCUCAUGUGGUGGUGGACUCUUCCGUUUGGGAAACUUUUACCGAAACUCAUAUUUUUCAGGAUAUGGUAGAUACUAUUCCCCCCUUUUUUCCAGAGGGUAUUAUAGAUAUCGCUAUGGAAAUUAUGGGCCAUUUUAAAUCUUUAAGAAAGAUUAAUGACUGGAGAAAUAGUAAAAUACAAACUAGCAGCUGACAUAUAGACCUGGAAAUCAGACAUGCCAAGCAGCCUCUGCUCCAGCCUGUGUCAGAGGAGCUGGGGUUGCUUGGGAUCUCACUACGCUUUAUCUAAGGCUUAUGGUCCCAAUGUUGCCUCACUUUGUCAUUUGCUUAUGUUAUGUUUUGUUCUUUCUGAACCUGAAGAGGGUAAACCAAGUAAUGGAAUUUGACUGUAAAAGCAUCCAGCUGAAAGAAGAACACCUUGUGAACCCUGUGCUCCUCUGAAUGAUUGAUUGAUUGUAGCCCUUGUUUGAAAUGGAAAUUACAUUGUUUCUUCCUUGCCUCAUUCUGCAAGAAUGUAUUCCAGUCUUUGUUUGUAUUAAAGCCCUGUUGCAUCAUA